rnacentral:rRNA from 1 species
UACGAAGGGUGCAAGCGUUAUUCGGAAUUACUGGGCGUAAAGCGUGCGUAGGCGGUGAGUUAAGUCUGAUGUGAAAGCCCCGGGCUCAACCUGGGAAUGGCAUUUGAUACUCUGAGGCUGGAGUACGGGAGAGGAGAGUGGAAUUCCCAGUGUAGAGGUGAAAUCCGUAGAUAUUGGGAAGAACACCGGUGGCGAAGGCGGCUCUCUGGACCGUAACUGACGCUGAGGCGCGAAAGCGUGGGGAGCAAACAGG